ensembl:antisense Gm12146 predicted gene 12146
GCAUUCCCCAGAAGAAAGUUUAGCUAAUGUAUCUACAGUGCAUGUGUCAUCCCUGGAAUGCUCUCUGCUGCAUCUCGGAUCCUGGAGAACCCGGUCUUCCACAUGCUUCUGUCUGGGAGGGCUAGAGCUCUUUGAGGACUGCUCGAAGCGCUUUGCUGAGUACUGACAUAAAUCUCUCAAAAAAAUCCGUGUGCUUGGUACAGUCGAGAAACAUGAGGACACGCAUGCUUCCAUCACCUGGGACCAUUGCCAACUUCUAGAUGUGUAAAAAAGGGCAGCUGUCUACAACCUGGGAUGAAGACUUUCCCUCAGAUAAUUCCUGGCCAGGUUGCUGACUUUGGACUUUUAACCUCAAUAAUGAACAUCCCAUACCUACAGCUCCAAUGAGGCACAUGAGGAAGAGGAGGCCGAUGCAGAAGAAGAUAUCUGUGUUGAUGCGCCGCUCGAUUUUGCUGCGUUUGUAUCGGGGGCCACUAUUGUUCAGCAUGGCUUUUGUUUCAUGGCCUUUGAGGAAAAA